rnacentral:siRNA from 1 species
AUCAGUCACGGUUAAAAAAUCUGC